rnacentral:ncRNA from 1 species
AGAGUAAAGGUGUGUUCGCUAUACCGGAAAUCCGGUAUUCCAGUGCUGCCGGGACGGGGAGUUGUCCGGCGGACGAAAGCCAUACGGCUGCGAUUCGCAUCUUGCAUCCCGCU